AGGGAAAUAGCUCGGUGGUUAGAGCACAUGCUUAGCAUGCAAGAAGUCCUGGGUUCAAUCCCCAGUAGCUCCA
rnacentral:tRNA from 1 species